rnacentral:rRNA from 1 species
UACGUAUGGAGCAAGCGUUAUCCGGAUUUACUGGGCGUAAAGGGAGCGUAGGCGGCCUGCCAAGUCUGAUGUGAAAUACCGGGGCUCAACCCCGGCCUGCCGUUGAAACUGGCGGCCUCGAGUGGGCGAGAAGUAUGCGGAAUGCGUGGUGUAGCGGUGAAAUGCAUAGAUAUCACGCAGAACUCCGAUUGCGAAGGCAGCAUACCGGCGCCCAACUGACGCUGAGGCACGAAAGCGUGGGUAUCGAACAGG